rnacentral:sRNA from 1 species
AUUGGUUUAACCUUAGACUGGUUAGUAGCUAGAAAACGGUUCUUGUCUAGAACGCCGUUUCGUUGGAACUCGAGUAUUUCUGCCGUAACGUCGUGCGCAAUAGCAAUCUCCUUUUCCACGCUAUCCGUGCCACUUUAGGCGAAACAGUGAAACACAAAGGAAAGACAGAUGUCAGAUACAGUGACUGGUACAGUAAAAUGGUUCAACGAAACUAAAGGCUUCGGUUUUAUCAAGCAAGAAAAUGGUCCAGAUGUUUUCGCACACUUCAGUGCAAUCACAGGUGACGGUUUCCGUACACUAACUGAAGGCCAAGCUGUUGAAUUCAGCAUUACUCAAGGUCAGAAAGGUCCACAAGCAGAGAACAUUAAAGUUCUUUAAUUUGUCGACAAAAUAGAUUUUAAUAGCCAGCUUUUAAGCUGGCUAUUUUUA